CGCAGCAGGGUAGCUAUGCAUGGACGGGAUAACCGCUGAAAGCAUCUAAGCGGGAAGCCUCCCUCAAGAUAAGAUUUCUUUAGAGCGGUCGAAGACCACGACCUCGAUAGGCCGGAUGUGGAAGCGCGGUAACGCGUGGAGCUAACCGGUCCUAAUUGCUCUAUUCGCGCUUG
rnacentral:rRNA from 1 species